AUCGAAGGAAAUGAUAGAUGUAAAGCACUUAGCCUGUGAUGGUUAAGGUUGUGUGUUAACUUGUCUGGGCUGUGACUCUCAGUGUUUAUAUGUGAUCACUCCCAUAACGGGAUCUGUUGUGAGUAGCUGAUCAGUUGAAGGGGAGUUUCCUUGUGGGUGUGGCCUGCAUCCAAAUAUAAGCAGAUGUUCUGGCUUUUUGCUCACUCUGGAUCCUGCAGCUACCUCCUGUUUGUCUGACCUCCCAUUCCCGGGACUUGAGCUAUCAGCUUAUCUUGGGAUUCAUGGAUCCUCACAAGCUGUGAGCAGAGUCCUUCUCUCUGAUCUGCCAAUAUCAGGUUCACCAGCUCCUGCAGCUAUGGGAAUUGGGAGAAGCUUCUAUCCUAAUCCAGGGACUUGGGACGUUCCAGCUUCUAUAAUCGCUCUGGGCCAGCAAGCUGAGAACCAUAAAAUCCACACAAAGAGGAAACAAUUCAUGAGAUGCAGAAAUACGUCACUUCUUCCAUUAUCACAGUCGUUCCAGAAUUCUCACAACUGGCCUUAUACGUCCCCAACCGAUGACACAAACAAAGCAAACCAGAGACUCAGAAGGGGUAAAGAUUUGCCAAAGCUACACAGCAAAUCCACGGCUGCUCUUUAAGUCAUGUCUUAGCUGGUUAUCAAAGGCAGAGUCCCCCAUUCCCUGCCUAAAAUACAUGUUUAUAGGAUUAAUGAUGUGAAUUUAGUUUUCUUUUGCUCAAAGAAAGUAGGUGCAGGGGCAUUUUUAAUGCUGCACAAAAAUGAAAGUAUACUGGAACCAUCCUGACCUCAAACCACUGAGCGUCAAAGCAGUUGGAUUCCUCAGCGGCAACAGAAUACUUUUUAUAGAAGGCCCCAAGCCAUUUCUUUCUGAACCUGUCUCUGGUCUCCCUGUUUGCCUUCGCUUUCGUACUUACCGGGUAGCAGUGUUUGCUGUGGUCCUCGCCCGAGGCUGGGAUCUAGAGGGUAAGCAUUCCUGACUGGGGGGCUGGACUCCCGCUGGGGAACCAAUUAAAUGUACUACCACCUGGGGAGAGUGCGAUAUUUUUUAUUACUUUCUAAUUUCAGGCAUUGAAAUGGCUUCAGUUAUCCUGAAGGAGCUAGAGAAGCGAAGCUUUUGAUUUGUAUUUCACUUACAGGGGUCCACACUCAAGUGUGCUCCGAGGAUGUCCGUGAGGCCUCGGAUCCCUGAAGUGGGGGAAGGUAAGACACAGAAAACAACAGCCCAACUUCCUCCCAAGGUUGCUUUAUCAUUCUGGGAACUGCCAGCUACUUUGGGAAAGUCUUUCUUUGAGAAGUCAUUGAGCCGAGGAAAAAAGAAUAGAAGAAUGAGAACAAAACAAUUUCAAUGGAUUCCAAAUCUAUUUAAACUACAAGAGUCAAUCAAAACCAUGCCUCUUUCCAUGGCCCGAUAGUAAAAAAAAAAAAAAAAAAAAAAAA